UCUUUAUUAUGUUGGUGUAUAUCUGGUUUGAAUUAUUGCUUAAUAGCUUAAUUUUGGGAUUUGUGUUUAAUCCAAGCCUAUGUGCUGCUUGUAAAAUGUUACGUGCCUGCAUUUAUAUUUUUGGUUAUGUAAUUAACUUUGUUAAUUGAGGACUUAAAAGUUAGUAUAAUAAGUUUGUUUACUUGAAAAGGGUUUAUCUUGUUGACACCCCGCCGCCGCUCACACA
rnacentral:rRNA from 1 species